rnacentral:rRNA from 1 species
UACGUAGGUGGCAAGCGUUGUCCGGAUUUACUGGGCGUAAAGGGAGCGUAGGCGGAUUUUUAAGUGGGAUGUGAAAUACCCGGGCUUAACCUGGGUGCUGCAUUCCAAACUGGAAGUCUAGAGUACAGGAGGGGAAAGCGGAAUUCCUAGUGUAGCGGUGAAAUGCGUAGAGAUUAGGAAGAACACCAGUGGCGAAGGCGGCUUUCUGGACUGUAACUGACGCUGAGGCUCGAAAGCGUGGGGAGCGAACAGGAUUAGAUACCCUGGUAGUCCCUGAGCGGG